rnacentral:lncRNA from 1 species
GAGCCCUAUGGUGUAUAGGACUGGACAUCUUACAUGCUAUAAGAAGCGUUUGCAUAUUUGUUCUUUUGCUUAAAAAGGUUCUGCAAUAGGGAAAUGCUAAACUUGGGGAUAUUUGUUCAAUUUUGUUAUUUUGGAUUCCUCUAUUUUGAUUUCCAAAAAUAUGGUAGAUGCUAAAACUGAAACUUGGAAGAUGAUUUGAUCGUGGACAAGACUUUUUGAAUGAUUUAUAAUGAAUUUCAUUUUCAGAAGUAACAGCUUUAACAGGAUACACGAUGAAAAUAUAAUAAUGCUAGGAAAGCUUUAAUUUUUUUGGCUAUAUUGUGACAAAAAAUUGUAUUAAAACAGUAUGUUGUAAUCCAAGCAGUUACGAUACAUGGUUGAACGUAAUGUAUUACAUUG